rnacentral:rRNA from 1 species
UACGUAGGGUGCAAGCGUUAAUCGGAAUUACUGGGCGUAAAGGGUGCGCAGGCGGCUCGGAAAGAAAGAUGUGAAAUCCCAGGGCUCAACCUUGGAACUGCAUUUUUAACUACCGGGCUAGAGUGUGUCAGAGGGAGGUGGAAUUCCGCGUGUAGCAGUGAAAUGCGUAGAUAUGCGGAGGAACACCGAUGGCGAAGGCAGCCUCCUGGGAUAACACUGACGCUCAGGCACGAAAGCGUGGGGAGCAAACAGGAUUAGAUACCCU